rnacentral:rRNA from 1 species
CCUACGGGUGGCUGCAGUGGGGAAUAUUGGGCAAUGGGCGCAAGCCUGACCCAGCAACGCCGCGUGAAGGAAGAAGGCUUUCGGGUUGUAAACUUCUUUUGUCAGGGAAGAGUAGAAGACGGUACCUGACGAAUAAGCCACGGCUAACUACGUGCCAGCAGCCGCGGUAAUACGUAGGUGGCAAGCGUUGUCCGGAUUUACUGGGUGUAAAGGGCAUGUAGCCGGGUUGACAAGUCAGAUGUGAAAUCUUGCGGCUUAACCGCAGAACUGCAUUUGAAACUGUUGAUCUUGAGUACUGGAGAGGCAGAUGGAAUUCCUAGUGUAGCGGUGAAAUGCGUAGAUAUUAGGAGGAACACCAGUGGCGAAGGCGGUCUGCUGGACAGCAACUGACGCUGAGGCGCGAAAGCGUGGGGAGCAAACAGGAUUAGAUACCCGUGUAGUC